UGGUAAUGACAUAAGGCAAG
rnacentral:piRNA from 1 species